rnacentral:rRNA from 1 species
UACGUAGGGUGCAAGCGUUGUCCGGAAUUAUUGGGCGUAAAGAGCUCGUAGGCGGUCUGUCGCGUCUGCUGUGAAAACUCAGGGCUUAACCCUGAGCUUGCAGUGGGUACGGGCAGACUAGAGUGCGGUAGGGGAGACUGGAAUUCCUGGUGUAGCGGCGAAAUGCGCAGAUAUCAGGAGGAACACCGGUGGCGAAGGCGGGUCUCUGGGCCGUAACUGACGCUGAGGAGCGAAAGCCAGGGGAGCGAACGGG